rnacentral:rRNA from 1 species
CGGGUGAGUAACGCGUGAGGAAUCUGCCUCAAAGAGGGGGACAACAGUUGGAAACGACUGCUAAUACCGCAUAAGCCCACGGUGCCGCAUGGCACAGAGGGAAAAGGAGUAAUCCGCUUUGAGAUGGCCUCGCGUCCGAUUAGCUAGUUGGUGAGGUAACGGCCCACCAAGGCGACGAUCGGUAGCCGGACUGAGAGGUUGAACGGCCACAUUGGGACUGAGACACGGCCCAG